rnacentral:rRNA from 1 species
AACGCGAAGAACCUUACCUGGUCUUGACAUCCACGGAAGUUUUCAGAGAUGAGAAUGUGCCUUCGGGAGCCGUGAGACAGGUGCUGCAUGGCUGUCGUCAGCUCGUGUUGUGAAAUGUUGGGUUAAGUCCCGCAACGAGCGCAACCCUUAUCCUUUGUUGCCAGCGGUCCGGCCGGGAACUCAAAGGAGACUGCCAGUGAUAAACUGGAGGAAGGUGGGGAUGACGUCAAGUCAUCAUGGCCCUUACGACCAGGGCUACACACGUGCUACAAUGGCAUAUACAAAGAGAAGCGACCUCGCGAGAGCAAGCGGACCUCAUAAAGUAUGUCGUAGUCCGGAUUGGAGUCUGCAACUCGACUCCAUGAAGUCGGAAUCGCUAGUAAUCGUGGAUCAGAAUGCCACGGUGAAUACGUUCCCGGGUCUUGUACACACCG